rnacentral:lncRNA from 1 species
AGGAUCCCACAGCGUGCAGUCACAGGCCUUGUUCGGCUUCAGCGCAAUGCCAUUUGCCUCCCGUCUCAGCUGUCCCCAGUAAUUCAUCUCCGGCUUGCUGAGGUGGAUUUAUUUCCAUUUCCAAUCAACUUUUGAUCAUUGAGCAAUGGUGUUGCCUUGAGAGAAGGGAAAGCCCACGUCACCUGCAACACGGUUUGGGUUUUCAGCUGGUGCAGGACAGCCCGUCUUCACAGGAACUUGUGCCAGGUUGCAUGGAGGGGAGGUUGAACCCUGUACAUUCGUGUGGUGUCUUCUCACCCCUGUUUCCUGCUGAAACCAGAAGCAUUGCUCCUGCCUGGACCAAGGAGCUGUGGCUGAAUGGUGCUUGGUAGGAAGCCCUGUGGAGAUGGAGUGAAGAUCAUAAGCAGAUGACAAAUGAAUGUUGAAAGGUGAGGUUUGAUGAGGGGAAGUGACUCAUGGGUUGGGAAUGGGGAUGGGGUCCCGGGGAGGCUCGGCAGCUCCAGUGACCCCUGGCUGCAAGGAGUCGUGGGGCAGGGGGGAGAGGCCAAGCACUGAGGAAUGAAACCAAUGGUUGAGUCCGUGGAGAGUUAUGAAAACCUAGAAGACAAGCCCAAAGCGGUCAUGUGGAAACUGGAGGAAUAUCCAGCGUUUCCAAACUGUUUGUGCCGUUCUUCCUUCCCUUGGCUUUGAUCAGUGUGAAGCAAGCAGAGAUAGAGACCUGAGGGAAGCCAGUGAAGUUGAUGCAAUGCUUUCAAGCUGUGUUCGAGCUCCUGAGCCCACAGCUGCCGUGCUGCGCAGGGAUGGGGCAGCAGCAUUUCCUAAGCUGCUGUAACAUAAAGGAAUGGAGUAGUAUGUUUUAAAUAGUCUAGACGGCCUCAAAUGAACCCUCUGAUCUUCUCCUGCAAGAGCCACCAGAAGCCAGCAGAGCUGUCGUGUGUCUGCAGGCAGGGUGGAUGCGCUGGGGAGGGAGGCACAGAUGCUGCCGGCACACAUGUCCCACAUUAAGCAAUGCAAAUCGGGGAGUGAGUCACCGACCCGUUUCUCCUCCCACCACACUCCAGUAGAUGUGUGUGCAGCGCCUGUGUGCAGCGAGGCUCGGCGG